UCUCUUCUCUUCUGCUCCUCACCUGCUUCUGCUCUUGCAAAAUUUGCUGCAAGGAAACCUCUCAAGACUAAUUAGCAAGAGUGAUGGCUGAUCUGACCGUCAAAAUGAACAUCCCCUAUAUGAGAACUGGAGUCUUUAAUAUGGAUCUCCCCGCAGCCGACCUCAACUUGGAGGCUGAGGUUGGCUUUCUGCUGGUGGUUUACCCAUUUCUCCAGAGAGAAACCACCACCAUGUUUCUCCCUGAUUUUUUAUGACCUCUCUGCUGCCACUGCUAUUUCUGCCCACCUGUGUCCUCUGCUGAUCCCUGAGAAGGCCUACCCAACCCUUCCCUUCCAAUAAACUUUCCUUGCAGUCCCUCA